GACGAACGCUGGCGGCGUGCCUAAUACAUGCAAGUAGGACGCACAGUUUAUACCGUAGCUUGCUACACCAUAGACUGUGAGUUGCGAACGGGUGAGUAACGCGUAGGUAACCUGCCUAUUAGAGGGGGAUAACUAUUGGAAACGAUAGCUAAUACCGCAUAACAGUAUGUAACACAUGUUAGAUGCUUGAAAGAUGCAAUUGCAUCGCUAGUAGAUGGACCUGCGUUGUAUUAGCUAGUAGGUAGGGUAAAGGCCUACCUAGGCAACGAUACAUAGCCGACCUGAGAGGGUGAUCGGCCACACUGGGACUGAGACACGGCCCAGACUCCUACGGGAGGCAGCAGUAGGGAAUCUUCGGCAAUGGGGGGAACCCUGACCGAGCAACGCCGCGUGAGUGAGGAAGGUUUUCGGAUCGUAAAGCUCUGUUGUUAAGGAAGAACGAGUGUGAGAAUGGAAAGUUCAUACUGUGAC
rnacentral:rRNA from 1 species